rnacentral:tRNA from 1 species
GGGAGCGGAUAGGGCCCGGUGGCUCUCACGGUCUUCAAAAUCGAUGAGGGUAAGCGAUCCUUGCCCUGGUAGGUUCGACUCCUUCCUGCUCCCGCCA